UGUCGACACUGGCAGUGACGGAAUGAACAGACAUGAAGCCGAUGAAUCCAGUAAAAAAACAUUACAAAUAUGAUCCAAAGUUUAUUUUAAAACACACAGGAAGAUUCACACUCAUCAUUAUAACUACGAUUGCUCUAACGAAUGCAAUGAUGUGGGAUAUAAGAAGACAUCACAAAGAACUUGAUACAUACUUUGAGCCAAAGGAUAAAGCUAAGAAAAAUACUUAGAAAAACAAGAAAGCUAGGAAGACAUAAAUAAGUGUUUUGUUUCAUACUUUAAUUUUUGUGCACAAAAGUUGACUGCAGACAUUAUUUGCGAGAAGAAAGAACAGUUUGGAGUGAAGUCAUAAAUUAACAUUCUACGUCCAUAGUGUUAUAAAAGUUCUUACUUGUACAAUUGUUGGAUCUUCUGCUUUUUAAGCAAACGUCUCGAUUUUAUGAUAUUAUAUAUAUAGCUGUUAUAUAGCAAAUUCAAAAGGACACACCUGUCGAAAUAAAGGCGUAGACUGGUACUGUGAAAAGAUAGCUGACAGAUCUAUAAAUGAGUUGCAGAAGUUUCAAUCUCGGAACUUUUCAAUUAGAUAUUCUUCAUUUAGUUAUGCCAAAAUUAAGACUAAAAAUUGAUAAAGAAUUUAUUGUUUUAGGAGGUAUUCUAACAUUAUUGACAUUCAAAUAUUAUUACACAUAUAAGAUAUACAAUAAUAUUCCUUCUUUUAGGAAAAAAACUGAAAAUGAACCAGACAGAUCAGCUGAGGACUGGAAAUGAUAAAUGUGGUUUUAGAUAUCAUUAAUGAUUAAUAUAUGAUGUCAUUAUUUAUUCAAAUAUUAUGUUGUUCUACAAUGUUUCUAAAAUUUUGAGAUAACAUUUACAAAAAAAUGUAUCUUCUAACCAGGGGUAACAAGGCUUUGAUUUUACAGAUGUAAUCAUUGAAGUGUUACCCUAUUUACUUAUAAGUGGUCAGUUCUGUAUAAUAUCUUAUAAAGAGUUGUUUAAAAUACAUGUAGUAUGAAGAGUUGAAACCAAAAUUUCUGAAGAGGUUCUUAGUUUUAAUUACACAAAUUUCAAAAUUUCAACACCUGCAAAUUUUUCAAGGGUGCAUUAGCUGACAAAUUCAUGUUUAACAAUUUGAAUCAAAUUCUCAUAUACAUCAUGUACAUUUGAUUAACUGUUUUACAUGUAUAAACAAUUAAAGAUACAUGUACAUGUAAUCAUAAUAAUAACAUACUAUAA